rnacentral:tRNA from 1 species
GGAGGGAAAGGAGCUGGUGCUCCCCACGGAAUGCAAAUCCGUUGGCCGUGCUUCAUCAAGCCGGGGUGGCGUUCGAUUCCCACUUCCCUCC